AGAGUGAACGCUGGCGGUAGGCCUAACACAUGCAAGUCGAACGGCAGCACGGUAAGAGCUUGCUCUUAUGGGUGGCGAGUGGCGGACGGGUGAGGAAUACAUCGGAAUCUACCUUUUGGUGGGGGAUAACGUAGGGAAACUUACGCUAAUACCGCAUACGCCCUUCGGGGGAAAGCCGGGGACCAGCAAUGGCCUGGUGCUGAUAGAUGAGCCGAUGUCGGAUUAGCUAGUUGGUGAGGUAAUGGCUCACCAAGGCGACGAUCCGUAGCUGGUCUGAGAGGAUGAUCAGCCACACUGGAACUGAAGACACGGUCCAGACUCCGUACGGGAGCAGCA
rnacentral:rRNA from 1 species